AUUUUCUUCCUCGAGCCACCACCGUAGCUUCUAGACUUUAUAUAUUUUGAUUACAAUUUCUGCAUGUGUACUUCGUAAAUGAUAAAAUAGAAUGGGGCACUGAAACAUGAUUUUAAUCUGAUAUUAAGUUAUUGUUUUUUAUUCUUUGAAAAGACGAUUAGGAAAUAGAAUGGUGCGUUGAAACUGCUUUGUUAAUACAUGUCUCGUGAUUGUGUGUUACUGUCUUCUCUUGAGCAUGUCUCUGAUAUGUAGGAACUAGUAAAAUUAGUAAGCAUUAGUAGCAACUGUUUGUAUUGAACUGUGCAAGUGUAUUACUGAUAUGUCUUUUGACAUAGUCUCUGAUAUGUCUUUUUUUUUCUGGUGUUCUGUAUAUGAAUAUGUUUUGUCUCGAGCUGAUGGUGAACAAGGAGGAAAAGAAGAUACAAAACAGAGCUGAAAUCGUUUGCAGGAAGAAGCAGACAGACUGUCUGAGAGAGUGUAUUAUCCAUUAUCCCGCGGGACGGCCCGCGAAGACUUGCUAGGAAUGCGGUACGGGAUUGGGCAGCUAUGUUGAGGACCGCAUCCCGCGCGGGACAGGCCCGCCGUGUACCGCCAGAAGACGAACCCGCAGCGGGACGGGACGGUGCGGGACGGAAGAGCCCAAUUGCCAUCUCUAGCUAGGAUCGUUUGAUCCGAACCAGAUUCAGCACGAAGAAAAACUAGAAAAUUUCAGCAACAACAAAAAUGGUCUGAUUUUAUCUAGGAUAUCAUUUCUGGUGCAAAGAGUGAGGAUCGAAGUAAAAUAUCUAUGACGCUUGAUCAUAUACUUGAAUUGGUCGAUCAAAUGCCCAAGAACACGCCAUAAAGCCGAAUGGGAAACAGAUCGAAGAGAAGAGCAAAUAAAUUGGUCGUCUCUCACAUACUUGUUUAACCUCAUGGCUUAGCAUCUCGACUUUUGCAAUAAAAUCACGGUUUCGAUUCUGAUUAUUCUUAGUUAGCAGUUUAACGACACAGAGCUAGGAUGAUUGAUUUCUACUUCAAUCUCUAAUAAAUAAUCGUCAAAUGUGUUGGACAUUGAAAUUGUGUAUUCAUCAAUCAAAUAAGUAGCCUAC